ensembl:lncRNA
UGGCAUCAUGGCAGGAUUUUAUUUAGCAUAUUUUAGUUAUUUAUAGCAUUUUCAAAAAUGUUAGCCCACAAUUUCAGCUGGUACGAAUCAGAACAUGGUUUCGUCAGCAUUACAAAUGCAGAGUGUUCAGUCUGCACUGGGUCACAGGAUUGGCCUCCUGAUGUUGUCAUCCACUCAGUGCAGCUUGAUGUGGUGAAGCAUGCAUUUUAGCAAAUCAAAGAGUCUGAUGGAAUUGUCAGCAUCAGCUGGAGUGCUGAUGGCUGACAGCACCAAACGGCACUGAAUUCAUUACGGACAUGCCGAGAAAAAAAAAAAAAAAUGCUAAAAAAAAAAUCUCUAGGCAGGUUUGAACAGGUUGAACCACAUUUCUGUCAGGGAAGCAAGUGGUGGCUAUGGAAGGUAAACUAAAAACCGGGGGGGAUGACAAAACAAAAAAAUAUCACAAAGAGAAUACAGUAUCCACAUCUGCAUUGUGUAAAACUGAAAUGUGGAUUAAUAAGCUGAAUGCAUUUAGUAGAAUUAAAAUUUUAACUGAAGUAGUUUGAAAUCCUCAUUUAGUAAUAUGAUUAAUACAUUACAGAGCUUUUACUUUUGGUACUUUUCAGAGCCUAUUCUUUACCUUUACUUGGGUAAAGGAGUUGAAUCAGUAUAUUAACUUUUACUUGAGUAUUUAACACCAGUAUCUGUACUCUUAAGUACAGGAUGUCUGUACUUUUAUCACCUUUGCUGAUCUGUUGAGGCUUUUGACACUUUCAAUUUAAAGUCUUAGUUUUGAAACUUCUGGUUUUUUGUUUUUGUUUUUUGUUUUUAAAUGGUGAUCCAGUGCUCAGAGCAGAGAAAAAUAAAGACAAAGCAGUCAAGCUAAAUAACUUGAUAGAUUAAUAGAGCUACAGUCCAAAACCUGCGAAAGAAGUGAACAGUAGUGGAUGAAGUUGGAGAAACCGUUUCCAUCAUCAGUUUUUCCUAAGUUCAUUAUUAAUUUCUGUUCGUUUUAUAGCAGAUAUAAUCUUGUACAACAAGAGAUUAUAGCAAUAUUACAAGCAAUCUCAUGGAAAGCACUCAACUGAAGUUCCAAAAUGUUAAUAUACAAGCAACUAUUGAAGGACGGGACAUUGAUUCAGUUUAAAGUCUGGGAUACUUUUAAUGGUGCAGAUACAGCUCAAGUGAAACUGACGACUGGACUUGGCUCAAAAUGCACAUCACCAAAAUAUUUAGUCAAAAUCCGAUUCACCGGCUUUCUAACAUUUGGGCAUAGACUUGUUGCUUCUUGCUUAUGAGGACAAGACUCAGACAUGAAUGGUCAUUAGCUCUUGAAAAUUAACCUCAACCCAAAUGUUCAGCUAUUCUUUCAGACAACCUGACAAAAGAAACUACAGAAGAGCUUUCACUUUAUUUUAAAUAAAGGAAAUCAUCCUUCUUGCACUGCAGAGCUGUAAGGGAGGAGACAUUUGUGAGGAACAGAUUUUAAACCAAUGUGAAAUGUCAUGUUGUAAUAGCCAAAAACUAAUGACCCACCUCUGCCCUGUGAGUUUGGGUCAUCUCUUCCAUCCAUGCCAGUCUGAAGCUGACCGAUGGAAAUUUGGCCAAGGGUCAGAAGACUGAUGCUUUACAUGACCCCAGUGAGGUCCACGGUAAUGCCACCAGUAGUCAUUCCACGCAGGAUUCAUCUGGGAGUUGUAGUAGCCACUAGGGUCGACAUAUCUUUGAGGAUGACGCAGCCUUGAUGGGUGUUCUGGUCCAUCUGGCUUUGGAAAUGCAAACUCCUGCAGGUGGCCUUCAUCACGAUGCUCGUGAUCCUCACGAUGCUGGUCAGGGUACGGCCUUGUAUGAACUGGCAAAUGCUCCGUUUGACGACCCAAAUCAUCUUUCUCAGGCCUGUGUCGACGUCCACCGUGAUGUUCCUGGCCACCUGGGGGGCGUGGAGAACCACGUGAAAAGGGAACGUAUAAGCUGAACUGGUAGCCCAGGUUUGAAGGAUCAUGGGCAUGGUCUCUGCGGGGAUUAUUAAAACUGUUGUCAAUAAUAAGGCCGCUUGGUCCGUACCGAGGACGAUAAGCACCAUCACGAGUGUGAGCAAAAGGAAUCCUCAGGCUUAUGUUAAAGCUCCUGGGCUUGGCCACAAGAUGGUUUCUGUGUGCUCGUGGCUGGAGCAGAGAUGUUUCCAUGGGUCUGUGGGUAGGAAUAUUAGAGCGUGGAAGAUAUGAUGUUGGGGAUUCGACUUGAACCUGAUCACGCACGUUAGGGUAGAUCAUUGGAUCUGUCGGCCUCAGAGCCCUCAUGUACUGGAAAGGGCGAGGAUUUCCAUACACAUCUUGUUCCCCUCUUCCACCCUGCCAUGCUCUAGGCUGCACAGAACUUGUGGCUGAGAGAGAACAUGGGUAUGAAUACAGAUUAUAAAGCUGGUAAAGCUUCA